UCACCUCCGCAGGCUGGCUGGCCCCCAGGCUGGGCUGAGUGAUGUCUUUUGAAAGGCUCACCCUCAAGCAGGACUAGGAGC
rnacentral:pre_miRNA from 1 species